AUUGAACGCUGGCGGCAGGCCUAACACAUGCAAGUCGAACGGUAACAGGAAGAAGCUUGCUUCUUUGCUGACGAGUGGCGGACGGGUGAGUAAUGUCUGGGAAACUGCCUGAUGGAGGGGGAUAACUACUGGAAACGGUAGCUAAUACCGCAUAACGUCGCAAGACCAAAAAGGGGGACCUUCGGGCCUCUUGCCAUCGGAUGUGCCCAGAUGGGAUUAGCUAGUAGGUGGGGUAACGGCUCACCUAGGCGACGAUCCCUAGCUGGUCUGAGAGGAUGACCCGCCACCAUGGAAGUGAGACCCGGUACAAACCCCCAGGGGGGGCAGGAGGGGGGAAUUUUGCAAAAGGGGCGCAAGACUGAUGCAGCCAGGCCGGGUGGAAGAAGAAGGCCGUGGGGUUGUAAAGUACUUUCAGGGGGGAGGAAGGGAUUAAAUUUAAUACCUUUGCUCAUGGAGGUUCCCCGCAGAAAAAGCCCCGGCAAACCCCG
rnacentral:rRNA from 1 species